rnacentral:rRNA from 1 species
CACGUAGGGCGCAAGCGUUGUCCGGAAUUAUUGGGCGUAAAGAGCUCGUAGGCGGUUUGUCGCGUCUGCUGUGAAAACUGGAGGCUCAACCUCCAGCCUGCAGUGGGUACGGGCAAACUAGAGUGCGGUAGGGGAGAUUGGAAUUCCUGGUGUAGCGGUGGAAUGCGCAGAUAUCAGGAGGAACACCGGUGGCGAAGGCGGGUCUCUGGGCAGUAACUGACGCUGAGGAGCGAAAGCGUGGGGAGCGAACAGG